rnacentral:misc_RNA from 1 species
GAUGAAGAACGCAGCGAAAUGCGAUACGUAAUGUGAAUUGCAGAAUUCAGUGAAUCAUCGAGUCUUUGAACGCACAUUGCGCCCCCUGGUAUUCCGGGGGGCAUGCCUGUCCGAGCGUCAUUGCUGCCCUCAAGCACGGCUUGUGUGUUGGGCCCCGUCCUCCGAUCCCGGGGGACGGGCCCGAAAGGCAGCGGCGGCACCGCGUCCGGUCCUCGAGCGUAUGGGGCUUUGUCACCCGCUCUGUAGGCCCGGCCGGCGCUUGCCGAUCAACCCAAAUUUUUUAUCCAGGUUGACCUCGGAUCAGGUAGGGAUACCCGCUGAACUUAAGCAUAUCAAUAAGCGCAGGA